CGAUUUCUUCGGGGCAGGGUGCAAUUCCCGACCGACGGUAACAACGUAAGUUGAAGUCCGUGACCCGCGUGAGCGGUGGACCCAGUGCAAGUCUGGGACCGACAGUAUAGUCUGGAUGGGAGAAGAAAAUU
rnacentral:ncRNA from 15 species